AAUAGAUACCCAGGUAGUCCACGCCCUAAACGAUGUCUACUAGUUGUCGGGGGGUAACUCCUUCGGUAACGCAGCUAACGCGUGAAGUAGACCGCCUGGGGAGUACGGUCGCAAGAUUAAAACUCAAAGGAAUUGACGGGGACCCGCACAAGCGGUGGAUGAUGUGGAUUAAUUCGAUGCAACGCGAAAAACCUUACCUACCCUUGACAUGCCACUAACGAAGCAGAGAUGCAUUAGGUGCCCGAAAGGGAAAGUGGACACAGGUGCUGCAUGGCUGUCGUCAGCUCGUGUCGUGAGAUGUUGGGUUAAGUCCCGCAACGAGCGCAACCCUUGCCAAUAGUUGCUACGAAAGGGCACUCUAUUGGGACUGCCGGUGACAAACCGGAGGAAGGUGGGGAUGACGUCAAGUCCUCAUGGCCCUUAUGGGUAGGGCUUCACACGUCAUACAAUGGCUGGUACAGAGGGUUGCCAACCCGGCGAGGGGGGAGUCAAUCCCACAAAAACCCAGUCGUAGUCCGGAUUGCAGUCUGCAACUCGA
rnacentral:rRNA from 1 species